CGCUUUUUUCGCGCAGGCGAAGCUCGACCGCAAGUUGAAGUCGUGAAGGCCUAUAUCGACCGGCACCGCGAGGUCUACGGGGUCGAGCCGAUCUGCAAGGUGUUGCAGGUUGCCCCG
rfam:Bordetella flabilis strain AT10664, complete genome.